rnacentral:rRNA from 1 species
AUACUGUGGUGAAUACGUUCCCGGGCCUUGUACACACCGCCCGUCACACCAUGAGAGUUGAGAAUACCCGAAGCCCAUGUCAAAGUGGUCGAAGGUAGGCUUGAUGAUUGGGGUGAAGUCGUAACAAGGUAAC